AGGAAUUAAAAGUACUUUUAUACCUACUUUCCCCCAACAUUCUUUGAAGAGGGAAGGUAUACAUUUCUGUGAAAGACCUUAGGUAUUUCAAAUUCUUCGCGAGUUAGUUCAAGUGUGUAAAAUGGAAGACGGGGCCAGGCGCGGUGGUUCACGCCUGUAAUCCCAGCACUUUGGGAGGCCCAGGCAGGUAAAUCGCUUGAGGCCAGGAGUUUGAGAUCAGCCUGGGCAACAUGGCGAAACUUCAUCUCAACAAAAAACACAAGUUAGCUGGGCGUGGUGGCUCAUGCCUGUAAUCCCAGCUACUUGGGAGGUUGAGGUGGGAGGACUGCUUGAGCCCAGGAGGCUGAGGCUGCAGUGAGCCUUGAUCAUGCCACUGCGUUCCAGCCUGGGUGACAGAGCGAGACUCAAAAAUCCAGUUACAACACAGGGAUCACAACAAACACAACCGCCACAGAAGCACUAUGGCAUUACUUCUCCUAUCAGCUUAGCAGCCCCCAAGGAGACUGACUGCGUACUUACACAGAAACUAAUUGAGACAUUGAAACCCUUUGGGGUUUUUGAAGAGGAAGAGGAACUGCAGCGCAGGAUUUUAAUUUUGGGAAAACUAAAUAACCUGGUAAAAGAGUGGAUACGAGAAAUCAGUGAAAGCAAG
rnacentral:lncRNA from 10 species